rnacentral:rRNA from 1 species
CCUACGGGAGCAGCAGUGGGGAAUAUUGGACAAUGGGCGAAAGCCUGAUCCAGCCAUGCCGCGUGUGUGAAGAAGGCCUUCGGGUUGUAAAGCACUUUCAGUGGGGAAGAAAGCCUUGGGGCUAAUACCCUCGAGGAAGGACAUCACCCACAGAAGAAGCACCGGCUAACUCCGUGCCAGCAGCCGCGGUAAUACGGAGGGUGCGAGCGUUAAUCGGAAUUACUGGGCGUAAAGCGCGCGUAGGCGGUCUGAUAAGCCGGUUGUGAAAGCCCCGGGCUCAACCUGGGAACGGCAUCCGGAACUGUCAGGCUAGAGUGCAGGAGAGGAAGGUAGAAUUCCCGGUGUAGCAGUGAAAUGCGUAGAGAUCGGGAGGAAUACCAGUGGCGAAGGCGGCCUUCUGGACUGACACUGACGCUGAGGUGCGAAAGCGUGGGUAGCAAACAGGAUUAGAUACCCCUGUAGUC